GGGGAUAGCCUUUCGAAAGGAAGAUUAAUACCGCAUAAGAUUGUAGUAUCGCAUGAUAUAGCAAUUAAAGGAGCAAUCCGCUAUAAGAUGGACCCGCGUCGCAUUAGCUAGUUGGUGAGGUAAUGGCUCACCAAGGCGACGAUGCGUAGCCGACCUGAGAGGGUGAUCGGCCACAUUGGGACUGAGACACGGCCCAGACUCCUACGGGAGGCAGCAUG
rnacentral:rRNA from 1 species